UACGGGGGGUGCAAGCGUUGUUCGGAAUUACUGGGCGUAAAGGGCGCGUAGGCGGGUGGACAAGUCUCUCGUGAAAGCCCACGGCUCAACCGUGGAAUUGCGGGAGAUACUGUCUGUCUUGAGUCCGGGAGAGGAGCGUGGAAUUCCCAGUGUAGCGGUGAAAUGCGUAGAUAUUGGGAGGAACACCGGUGGCGAAGGCGGCUCUCUGGACCUGUACUGACGCUGAGGCGCGAAAGCUAGGGGAGCAAACGGG
rnacentral:rRNA from 1 species